rnacentral:tRNA from 1 species
GCUUUUAAAGGAUAACAGCCAUCCGUCGGUUUUAGGAACCGAAAACUCUUGGUGCAAAUCCAAGUAUUAGCU